UAAACCGGUUCUCGUUAGAUCACCGAAGUCAAGCAUCAUUGGGCGUGGUCAGUACUUGGGUGGGUGACCACCUGGGAACACCGCGUGCCGUU